GAUGAACGCUGACAGAAUGCUUAACACAUGCAAGUCGAUGGGGAAGUGGUGCUUGCACCAUGGCAACCAUGGCGGACGGGUGAGUAACGCGUAAGGGACUUACCUGCAGGACUGGGAUAACAGGGGGAAACUCCUGACAAGACCGGAUAAUGUCAUGGAGCUGCAUGGCUUUAUGAUGAAAGGAGACGCAUGCGGAGAGCCUUGCGUCCUAUUAGCUAGUUGGUGAGGUAAUGGCUCACCAAGGCGAAGAUAGGUAGCCGGCCUGAGAGGGUGGACGGCCACAAGGGGACUGAGAUACGGCCCUUACUCCUACGGGAGGCAGCAGUGGGGAAUAUUGGACAAUGGGGGCAACCCUGAUCCAGCAAUUCUGUGUGCACGAAGAAGGUUUUCGGAUUGUAAAGUGCUUUCAGCAGGGAAGAAGUAAGUGACGGUACCUGCAGAAGAAGCGGCGGCUAAAUACGUG
rnacentral:rRNA from 1 species